UCCGAGUUGUAAUUUGCAGAGGGCGCUUUGGCAUUGGCAGCGGUCCAAGUUCCUUGGAACAGGACGUCACAGAGGGUGAGAAUCCCGUACGUGGUCGCUAGCCUCUACCGUGUAAAGCCCCUUCGACGAGUCGAGUUGUUUGGGAAUGCAGCUCUAAAUGGGAGGUAAAUUUCUUCUAAAGCUAAAUACUGGCCAGAGACCGAUAGCGCACAAGUAGAGUGAUCGAAAGAUGAAAAGCACUUUGGAAAGAGAGUUAAAAAGCACGUGAAAUUGUUGAAAGGGAAGCGCUUGCAGCCAGACUUGCCUGUAGUUGCUCAUCCGGGUUUCUACCCGGUGCACUCUUCUACGGGCAGGCCAGCAUCAGUUUGGGCGGUUGGAUAAAGGUCUCUGUCAUGUACCUCUCUUCGGGGAGAACUUAUAGGGGAGACGACAUGCAACCAGCCUGGACUGAGGUCCGCGCAUCUGCUAGGAUGCUGGCGUAAUGGCUGUAAGCGGCCCGUCUUGAA
rnacentral:rRNA from 1 species